UACGUAGGGUGCAAGCGUUAAUCGGAAUUACUGGGCGUAAAGCGUGCGCAGGCGGUUUUGUAAGACAGAGGUGAAAUCCCCGGGCUCAACCUGGGAACUGCCUUUGUGACUGCAAGGCUUGAGUGCGGCAGAGGGGGAUGGAAUUCCGCGUGUAGCAGUGAAAUGCGUAGAUAUGCGGAGGAAUACCGAUGGCGAAGGCAAUCCCCUGGGCCUGCACUGACGCUCAUGCACGAAAGCGUGGGGAGCAAACAGG
rnacentral:rRNA from 1 species